rnacentral:tRNA from 1 species
GCCGGCAUAGCUCAGUUGGUAGAGCAACUGACUUGUAAUCAGUUUGUCCCGAGUUCAAUUCUUGGUGCCGGCACCA